GCAUGGCUGAGUACUGUGUUCUUUUUAUCAGUUGUUUACAUAGCCAGACAUCAUGGGAAAAAAAAACAAAAAACAUUCUUUAAAGUGGUUAUGAUGGAUUGCUAAGUUUUUUCAUAGCAUAUCGUCAUUAAAGGGAAAUAGAAAU